rnacentral:rRNA from 1 species
UACGUAGGGGGCGAGCGUUGUCCGGAAUUACUGGGCGUAAAGGGCGCGUAGGCGGGAUGGCAAGUCGGUCGUGAAAUCCUUCGGCUCAACCGAAGAACGUCGAUCGAUACUGCUGUUCUUGAGGGUUGCAGAGGAGACUGGAAUUCCCGGUGUAGCGGUGAAAUGUGUAGAGAUCGGGAGGAACACCGGUGGCGAAGGCGGGUCUCUGGGCAAUUCCUGACGCUGAGGCGCGAAAGCGUGGGGAGCAAACGGG